CUGCUUUCGUGAUGAGCUUUAGCUUUAGCUUCUGUGGGAUGGGCCACUUCAGCCGCUUAAUGUUCGGAGGCGGCUGCCGCAUGCAAACCUCGCAGGAGGCAGCAGAGUGUGCUGUUCAAUAAGCAGUUAUUAUUAGUCUGGUUCUCUCCAAAAAAAAUCGAAGAGGAACACGUGGAAGAGGGAUGAUUUCUAGACUCUUUAUGCUCGUUGAAAGGAGCCCUUUGCAAGUGCUGAUGUGGGACCACAAAAAGACAUGAAGGGACAUGGUCAGUGGGCAUGGUGGUGAUGGGCUCAAGGGUUGGACUAGAUGAUCUUAGUGGUCUUUUCCAGCCUUUAUGAUUCUGUGAUUAUGUGAUCAGUUAGCAAUUUACAAGCCUUUGCACUUGGUCAGUCUGUUUCUCCUGCCUGGUUGUUUCAGCUGCAGUUGUUUAAAGGCUAACAGGUGGGUAUAUAGAGCAGACCCUCAGCACGGCACAGGGAAGGUAUCAGCUGCAUGCUACCAAGUCCAGGAUUCAGUCCUUCAAAGUUCCUCCUCUCCUGCUAUCUGGCUAUGCAGGAGACAAAAGAAGAGGAAAACCCAGCCACUAAAAGAAGAUGAAAGCAGAUCUUGUGUUGCACCUGAUGGGGUAGCAGAGGAAUUGAAGAGUUCCAUCUAA
rnacentral:lncRNA from 1 species